UCCAUGUUUCAAAGAUUUGUUGUAAUGUGAUGGACGCCAUUCUAGCAAACGGGAAAGAUAUUUUAAAUGAUUCAGAUUCUGAGGAAGAAGAAAAGCCCUCUGAAAAGGUGAAGAUGUCAGAUUCUGGUGGGAGCAAGAAGAAAAAAAAGAAGCACCACAAACAUAAGCGCAAGCACAAACACUCUUCCCAUAAAAGCAAAAAGAGUAAUGAAGCACAUGGCAAGCACAAACAUCGAGGCCAUAUUGAUAAAAAAGAAGUGAAUAGUAUGGAGCUGGAAGAGCUUGAAAAACAGAAAGCAUUGCUUGAAGCACAACUUGCUAAAGUUGAUUCAGCUGCUAAUCAAUCAUUAGUGUCUGCUGAUUACGGUAGUUCCGAUGAAGCUAGUCCUGCCAGAAUAGCAAUUACAAUUCCAAAUGAUGCUGAAUCUACUGUUAGAACUAUAUCGUUGGAAUCAAAAUCAUCUGCCCAUCAUAAAGCUGAUAAGGAAAAUGAUAAAAUAGAUCCUAAAAGAAAAUCUAGCCAUAAGGAUCAUCGAAGUACAAAAGAAAAUCAUGAUUUGGAUAAACAUGUAAAUAGUUCAUCUAAGCGUAAAGUCGGCUCAUAUGAUAUCAAUUCUGAAAAAAGCUCUCAUAGAAGGAGAGAUGUCUCAGAUGAUCAAAACUAUGAUAGGUCACCAAGGUACAAAAAAUCAUUCUCACCAAAUAGAAAUGAAUAUGAACCCCCUCGGCAUUCUUCUAGGAGAAGUCUUUCACCAAAUCAUCGGCAUGAUUCCAGAAGGUUGUCAUCUCCUCACCGAAGGCCUCCUUCACCAUAUCGAAGGCCUCCAUCAUCUCACCGAAGACAUCCAUCGCCACCUCACCGAAGACCAUCAUCACCAUACAGAAGGUCGCCUCCUAGACAUAGAAGAAGUCCAUCACCAAGAGCUUCAUUUCAUAGAAAUUCUGAACGAGUCAGAGAUGGGUCCAGACACAGAAGUCUCCGAAGAUCUCGUAGUCCUGUUAUACGUAGGACUCCAGAUCGUUUUAAUUCUGUUGAUCGAGCCUCUCAUCGCAGGUCUGAUGGACGUGCCUUAUCUCCAAGAAGGCAUGAUGCUAGACAUUUGUCUCCUAUGAGACGUAGUAGGGAUCGUUUAAGAAGUCCUGAAAGAAAUGGAAGGAGAUCUUUUAGCCCAAGAAACCACCGAGACCGAAGGCGAUCUAUUGACCGCUCUUCUAGACUACGCAAUUCUAGAGGUAGUCCUCAUAGAAGAUCUAAAAGGGAUUCUGGUGAACGAGAUCAAGACCAAAAGCAUAGAAAAGGAGAAAAAGACAAAUUUAAGGACAGUUUGUCUGAGGGGCAGAAAAUUGUGCAUGAAGAUUCCUCAGAUGAUCAAAAUGUUGAUUUAGAAGUAGAAGAUGAGGAGGAAGAAGACGAAGAAGCAGUCAUUCAAAGGAGAAGACAGCAACGUCAAGAACUGUUGAAAAAAUUAGGUGUUGAACAACCAACGCCAGGUAGUGGUUUAUCAUCUCCUGUCCGUUCAAGUAGUGGAACAGAUUCUCCUGACUCUGCUAUUAUUGGAGAUGAGGCUGCUGCUAAUUUUUUGGCAGAACAGGAUGAUCAGUCCAAUGAUUUUGAAGCAUCCAUUCUGGACAAAAGAAAGAUUAUGGGAUUGCAGGAUGCAUUAAAUGAAAAGGAAGCUGAUGCUGCUGAGAAAAAGAAGAAACUGGAUAUGUUUUCAGAAGCUGAUAAUUUCAGUACAGAUUUAAGUCCAGCGUCAUCACGUCUAAUUUCUGCAACUGGUCAAGAAAACCCUAAUCUAACUGACAAUUGGGAUGAUGCAGAAGGCUACUAUCGUGUCCGCAUUGGAGAAGUUCUGGAUACGAGGUAUACAGUUUAUGGAUAUACAGGACAAGGAGUAUUUAGCAAUGUUAUAAGAGCUCGAGAUAUGGCUAGAGGAAAUCAGGAUGUAGCUAUUAAAAUUAUUCGAAAUAAUGAAAUUAUGCAUAAAACUGGCUUGAAAGAAUUAGAAAUGUUGCGGCGAUUAAAUGAUGCUGAUCCAGAUGAUAAAUUCCAUUGUCUGCGUUUAUAUAGGCAUUUUUUCCACAAGCAACAUUUAUGCUUAGUAUUUGAACCUUUAUGCAUGAAUCUCCGAGAAGUAUUAAAGAAGUAUGGCAAAGAUGUUGGAUUACAUAUCAAAGCUGUGCGUUCUUACAGUCAACAAUUGUUUUUAGCCUUAAAGCUAUUGAAAAGAUGCAAUAUUUUGCAUGCAGAUAUCAAGCCUGAUAAUAUUUUGGUCAAUGAUCGCAAACUUGUAUUGAAAUUAUGCGAUUUUGGUUCUGCUUCUCAUGUUGCUGACAAUGAUAUCACGCCAUACCUUGUGAGCAGAUUUUACAGAGCUCCUGAAAUUAUCUUAGGCCUGCAGUAUGAUUUUGGAAUUGAUACAUGGAGUGUUGGAUGUACUCUUUAUGAGCUGUACACUGGGAAAAUAAUGUUUCCAGGAAAAUCCAACAAUCAAAUGUUGAAAAAUUUCAUGGACUUGAAAGGCAAAUUUCCUAAUAAAUUGAUAAAAAAGGGAGCUUUCAGAGAACAGCAUUUUAAUAGCAGCUGCAAUUUCCUCUCCCAUGAAGUUGACAAAGUAACUGAAAGAGAAAAAGUGGUAGUACUUACCAAUAUCAAUCCUAGUCGAGACCUGCAGGCAGAGUUGGUAGGUUCUCAACGUUUACCUGAUGAUCAGUAUCGCAAAGUUUGUCAACUGAAAGAUCUACUAGAGAAAAUUUUAAUGCUUGAUCCGGCCAAGAGGAUAUCCAUUAAUCAGGCUCUCACUCAUCCCUUUAUCCAGGAAAAGAUAUAAGUGACUAUACUGAAGCAGAACAUUUCAUCGUGCAGCAAUAUUCAGUCAGUUUUACCAACUAGUUUCAGUCGAACUUUGUUGCAUUUUCAUAUACACUGACUCAUUAAAAUUAUCAGUUUGUAAGAAUGAAACGUUAUUUCUCAUGCCAUGGCUUGCUGUUGAAAUUCGCAGCGAAUGAUGACACAAAGCUGUAAAAUAAUUGUGGCUUGAAGAUGUGAUUAUAAAGAAAACAAGAUCAGCUUUCCUGUUCGAUUCUGUACAACCUGUUGCCUUGCGAUGGCAGUCGUUGAAAACAAGGAGGGCAUUUUUAUUACAGCUAAAAAAAUUACGUGGGAUUUUCUCUCUCUCAUUAUAUAUGUUGAAAUAUUUUCUGUGAUUUUAUGAUGCUUUCUCUUUUAAAUCAUCCAUUUUAGCAAGUUGUGUGGAUGAAAACUGCCUGUGUUGAUACAAUUCCAAGGCAGAUAACUUAUUUAUUUAUUAACUUUAUUAAUUCUGUAUUCGUCUUUCUUAUAUUAGUUAUCUUAAUUCUAAAAUAAUUUUUCUCAUGAUUGAAUAGUAGUGAACUUAGUUUUUUAAUAAAUAGAAUUACAGAAAUUGAUUUCUAUAUAUCUACAGUUGAAUCAUAACUGUGUUUUAAUUAAAUUCAAAUUUCGAGAGAUAAAUUUCUACGAUAUAUGUUUUAUUUUAUUAUGUUUCAAAGCUGAAGGUAUAUUUUGAGAAAAAAUUAAAUUUGUAUGUACAUAACUUCUUUCUUUAAUUGUCUGAAUUUUUCAUUUUGACUUUUAGAACGCCAUUUUAAUAUUUUAAUUUUAAUUCUAGAAAAUGAUGGUCUGUCUCGUACCUUCAUGUUAUGCCAUAGUAAUUAUAAUAUUUUUAUAUAUAUAUAAAUAUUUCAGAUGAAAUACAUUUCAAAAUUUUUAUAAUUAGUUGAUUCAAUUUAAUGUUCUAGCAUGAUAAUUUCAGUUUAUAUUAACAUUCUAGUUAUGAUUCUGCUGUAAUAUAUACAUAAUUUUUUUAUCUCAAAAAAAUUCAAAUAUCAAAUCAUCUGAAAAUUUAUACUUUUACAUUAUUCUCAGGAACCCCAAUGGGAUAUCCAAAGGCAGGCAAAGAGAUGCAGAAAUUAGAAGAACUCCUGAAGGCCAUCCAGUUUCUCCGUAAAAGGUAGAUACUGGUUAGGGAAAUUAUGAAUGGGAUUAAAAAUAGUCUUUUAAAAAUUUCUUACUCUCUUUUUUCUCAUUUAAACCUCUUUUUAUCUAACAUCUUCCUAAUAAAUUGAUAGAAAAAGUAAUGGGACCAAUAUCAUUUUCUGUAUGUGUUACUCUAAUUAAUUUAAUAUGUUUUGUUCUCCAUUUGAUGAAUGUUUAUUUAAAUUCUUGGAGGGAAGGUGUAGUUGAACAUUAUUUUUUAAAAUAAAAUUUAAAUUCAGUUGAGUUGAGGAGUCGUAUUAAAGUGAUAAAGUUCUUUCUGUGAAUAAAAUCUAUGACCUUUGACUUCUCAUAUUGACUCACUGUAUUCUGGCAUAUAGUAAGAAAAAUCGAUGAAAAAAAGUCUGAAUAUGACUAUAAUGUAUUUAGAACUAACCAAUAUAUUGGAACAGAAUUUAAUCUUAAGCUGUCCUGCUAAAUAGAAGCUGGUUAAUUUCAAAAAAAUUUUUUGAAGCCUACAAUUGCAUAUUGCAUCAUUCACUGAGGUUACUUGUAAGUUGCCAAUAUGCUAUUAGUAUGAGUUGUCAUUGGUUGUAAUUAUUAUAUAUGCACUUGCAUAUGUUUUUACUUUGUUUUUUUCUUUUGGAAGCACCGGUUUUCUAGCAUUAAAAUUUAUUUAGGUGCUGGUUGAGUUAUUUUAUGAAGUUGCUUAAAUGCAUUGCACACAAUAUGACACAUGAUGCCUGACUUUUCAGAAAAAAAUUAUCCUAUUUACCUCUUAGAAUUUUAAGUACAAAUGUAAUACAAUGAAAUCUAUAGAAGAUAAGCUGUGCCUAUAUAUUUUGUCUGUUUGUUAACAUGAAAUAAGAUUGUAAAAAUCUCAUUUUUUCCCGUCUAACGUAUUGGAUGUAAAACAAAUAUGAAAAAACUUGUUGAUUGGUUGUUCUGUUAUAAUAAUGUAAAAUUAAAUACCCAUAUUAUGUAAAUAAAAAACACAUAUUUUA